UACAGAGGGUGCAAGCGUUGCUCGGAAUCAUUGGGCGUAAAGGGCAAGUAGGUGGUCUUAUUUGUCUAGGGUGAAAUCCUUGAGCUUAACUCAAGAAGUGCCCUAGAAACGGUGAGACUCGAGUUCUGGAGAGGGUCGUGGAAUUCCCGGUGUAGCGGUGAAAUGCGUAGGGAUCGGGAGGAACACCAGAGGCGAAGGCGGCGACCUGGACAGAUACUGACACUCAACUGCGAAAGCGUGGGGAGCAAACAGG
rnacentral:rRNA from 1 species